rnacentral:misc_RNA from 1 species
GAUGAAGAACGUAGCGAAAUGCGAUACGUAAUGUGAAUUGCAGAAUUCAGUGAAUCAUCGAAUCUUUGAACGCACAUUGCGCCCGCCAGCACUCUGGCGGGCAUGCCUGUUCGAGCGUCAUUUCAACCAUCAAGCCCCAGGCUUGCGUUGGAGCCCUGCGGCUGCCGUAGCCUCCUAAAAGCAGUGGCGGGCUCGCUAUCACACCGAGUGCAGUAGAUUACUCUUCGCUCAGGGCGUGCAGCGGGUUCCGGCCGUGAAACCCCCUACUUUUAAAGGUUGACCUCGGAUCAGGUAGGAAUACCCGCUGAACUUAAGCAUAUCAAUAAGCGGAGGA